GAAACGACUGCUAAGACUGGAUAGGAGAUAAGAAGGCAUCUUCUUAUUUUUAAAAGACCUAGCAAUAGGUAUGCUUAGGGAAGAGCUUGCGUCACAUUAGUUAGUUGGUGGGGUAAUGGCCUACCAAGACGAUGAUGUGUAGCCGGGCUGAGAGGUCGAACGGCCACAUUGGGACUGAGACACGGCCCAAACUCCUACGGGAGGCAGCAGUAAGGAAUUUUCGGCAAUGGAGGAAACUCUGACCGAGCAAUGCCGCGUGAACGAUGAAGUAUUUCGGUACGUAAAGUUCUUUUAUUAGGGAAGAAAAGAUGGUGGAAAAACCAUUAUGACGGUACCUAAUGAAUAAGCCCCGGCUAACUAUGUGCCAGCAGCCGCGGUAAUACAUAGGGGGCAAGCGUUAUCCGGAAUUAUUGGGCGUAAAGGGUGCGUAGGCGGUUAAAUAAGUUUAUGGUCUAAGUGCAACGCUCAACGUUGUGAUGCUAUAAAAACUGUUUAGCUAGAGUUGGAUAGAGGCAAGUGGAAUUCCGUGUGUAGUGGUAAAAUGCGUAAAUAUACGGAGGAACACCAGAAGCGAAGGCGGCUUGCUGGGUCUUAACUGACGCUGAGGCACGAAAGCGUGGGGAGCAAACAGGAUUAGAUACCCUGGUAGUCCACGCCCUAAACGAUGAGUACUAAACGUUGGAUAAAACCAGUGUUGAAGUUAACACAUUAAGUACUCCGCCUGAGUAGUACGUACGCAAGUAUGAAACUUAAAGGAAUUGACGGGACUCCGCACAAGCGGUGGAUCAUGUUGUUUAAUUCGAAGGUACCCGAAAAACCUCACCAGGUCUUGACAUGCUUUUGCAAAGCUGUAGAAAUACAGUGGAGGUUAUCAGAAGCACAGGUGGUGCAUGGUUGUCGUCAGCUCGUGUCGUGAGAUGUUUGGGUUAAGUCCCGCAACGAGCGCAACCCUUGUUGUUAAUUGCCAUCAUUAAGUUGGGGACUUUAGCAAGACUGCCAAUGAUAAAUUGGAGGAAGGUGGGGACGACGUCAAAUCAUCAUGCCCCUUAUGACCUGGGCUACAAACGUGAUACAAUGGCUGUUACAAAGGGUAGCUAAAGUGUAAGCUUCUGGCGAAUCUCAAAAAAGCAGUCUCAGUUCGGAUUGAAGUCUGCAACUCGACUUCAUGAAGUUGGAAUCGCUAGUAAUCGCGAAUCAGCAUGUCGCGGUGAAUACGUUCUCGGGGUUUGUACACACCGCCCGUCA
rnacentral:rRNA from 1 species